UUCGGAAUCUAUAAUUACCCACUAAUGUUCUAAAAACAUAAAAAACCUUUAGACCACUCUCUCUCGACAUCUAUUACUCAAAAAAAAAAAAAAAGACGACUUCUGCCGCAACUUGCCAGAGAUCGGAGAAGACCCACCAGAGCUCGUCAAGGGCCAUCCACUGCCGUUCCGGACAACCGUUUCAUUCGCUCGGUUUCUUAAUCUUUACUCGUGCGUUAUUUUACAAGGAAUCGCAAACGCAACCACUGUGAACAGGUACGAAGUGAAGAUUGGACAUAGGAUGGGCCUUAGUUAACAAGAAAUGGAUUAGUGUAGUUUAUUUAUGUUUCGCGUUUGUAAUUGUUUAUUUGAAUAAAUUGUUUCGUGAAACAUUUGUUAUGAAUAAAUUAUUAUUUAAAACACGCAAUAGCAAGUCAUAAGCUCUCGAGUUAACCCGAUCAUGCUCCGAUCACCUAUUUCCGCUGCGGGUCGGGGUGUGACAGUCGUAGAGGGAUGAGUGACGAAGAUGUUUUCAAAGAGGCGAUGCGUAAAUACGAAAAUUCGCAUCGGGUCGUUUUCCCACACGUACGGGCUUGGGAUGUUUUGCGAACCAAAUACAAGCGAGCGCCGGUUCCAAACGAGGUUGCAAUGACGAACAAAAACCUCAGAGACCGGUAGUUAUAGUGCGGGGGGCUCGGACGCACAUGCCAAAUAAAUAUAAACAACAAGCCCGAAUUUGACGAAGAAGAGUACGAGGUUCGAGAGGAGGAACGUCCCCCGGGCAGGGACAAAUCCAAAAAGACGGCGGCUGCAAAAAAACAAGCCGCAACGGGGGGCGGUUCCAAAAUGGACGAGUUUAUGGCCCAGUUCAAAGCGUACACCGAGGUCACGGCCCAAAAGGCAAAAGCGAAUGAACGUGAGGUGGAAGAACGAGUUUGAUUGAAGAAUGAAAAGAACGAAUAUAAAGAUUGGGAGAUAAUGACAACCGAUAUAAACUCGUAUCCGGAAGAACACCGAGCGAUUUUACGUAAAAUGAAAGAAAAGAUCGCGAAAAAGUGUAGUUCUUAGGAUUUUUAUUUUUUUAGGUUAUGUUUUUUGAGUAGGAGUUGGGUGGAAAGUGUGUUUUUCCUAGAAAGUCUAGGAAGUAAUAAGAACACGACAUAUGGCAUUGAAGGAUUUUAUC